UACGGGGGGGGCAAGCGUUGUUCGGAAUUACUGGGCGUAAAGGGCUCGUAGGCGGCCAACUAAGUCAGACGUGAAAUCCCUCGGCUUAACCGGGGAACUGCGUCUGAUACUGGAUGGCUUGGAUCCGGGAGAGGGAUGCGGAAUUCCAGGUGUAGCGGUGAAAUGCGCAGAUAUCAGGAGGAACACCAAUGGCGAAGGCAGCUCGCUGGGACGUUACUGACGCUGAGACGCGAAAGCGUGGGGAGCAAACAGG
rnacentral:rRNA from 1 species